GAUGAACGCUGGCGGCGUGCUUAACACAUGCAAGUCGAACGGGAAACCUUUUAUUGAAGCUUCGGCAGAUUUAGCUGGUUUCUAGUGGCGGACGGGUGAGUAACGCGUGGGUAACCUGCCUUAUACAGGGGGAUAACAGUCAGAAAUGGCUGCUAAUACCGCAUAAGCGCACAGAGCUGCAUGGCUCAGUGUGAAAAACUCCGGUGGUAUAAGAUGGACCCGCGUUGGAUUAGCUGGUUGGUGGGGUAACGGCCCACCAAGGCGACGAUCCAUAGCCGGCCUGAGAGGGUGAACGGCCACAUUGGGGCUGAGACACGGCCCAGACUCCUACGGGAGGCAGCAGUGGGGAAUAUUGCACAAUGGGGGAAACCCUGAUGCAGCGACGCCGUGUGAAGGAAGAAGUAUCUCGGUAUGUAAACUUCUAUCAGCAGGGAAGAUAAUGACGGUACCUGACUAAGAAGCCCCGGCUAACUACGUG
rnacentral:rRNA from 1 species